UACGAAGGGGGCUAGCGUUGCUCGGAAUUACUGGGCGUAAAGCGCACGUAGGCGGCUUUCUAAGUCGGGGGUGAAAUCCUGGAGCUCAACUCCAGAACUGCCUUCGAUACUGGAGAGCUUGAGUCCGGGAGAGGUGAGUGGAACUGCGAAGUGUAGAGGUGAAAUCGUAGAUAUUCGCAAGAACACCAGUGGCGAAGGCGGCUCACUGGCCCGGUACUGACGCUGAGGUGCGAAAGCGUGGGAGCAACAGG
rnacentral:rRNA from 1 species